GGGGUGGUGGCGCAGUUGGCUAGCGCGUAGGUCUCAUAGCUAAGAGUAAUCCUGAGCGAGAGUUUGAGCCUCUCUCACCCCA
rnacentral:tRNA from 11 species